CAAAUGGAAAGCCAGGUGUGUGUACGAAUUCCAGCAAGGCAAGGAAAACAGAAAGAGAGCAACUGAGAUGUUGAGAUUAAAAAUAGGAUAAACAGGAACUGAAAAGUCUGGGUUUCUAUUUCUUUUCUGGUUCACUUUGUUUUCACGUUUCCCCCAGUGAACUGUUGUAGUUACAGUUUCUCCCAAUUAGGCAAUCAUUUGUAGUCGGGGACAAGAAAAUCAAACUUCUCGGACCCCCUCCGUGGAGAAUUCCCCACCCCUCAUUCCCUGAACGUGUUAAUUGCCAGCACAUAGGAGAACGAUCGUCUAGAAGGAAAACAAACCAAACCAAAAAAUCAAAUUCGGGCUUUGCCCAGAAAUGCUCACACGGUUCCCUUCAUGGUCCUCUGUGCCUUCAAACUGAAAGUGUCACAAAUGGACAGUGACUCUUCUCAACUUCCGGUGAUCAGAAACGCUUGGUAAUUGUUCUCACUAAAAGCCAGAAUCUCGCAAUAUAUGGCUUUGCCGCACACGGGCCAGAUUAAAAGCAGGAGGUGGCUUUCUUCUCCACAACACACCUAGUGCCAAAACACAAAAGCAGGGCAAAGGCCAUGCACACCAUCGCACAUCAUUCCCUGGGCCUACAACCUGGAUCGAGAGAGUCAAGAGAGGCGAUGCGAGGCCACGAUGGAGUAGUAGGGGCUCCAGUACCAGGCCACCUCGGUUCCGACCUCUGUCCCGUCACUUGCUAGCUCUGCGAGCUUUGGAAAGUGACCUAACUGCUGGGGGCCUCGUCGUUCCCAUCUGUAAAGCAGGGGUCUGUUCCAAGUGACGCUGAAGGCCGGAGGGAGAGUCCCAAGCCCGCUUGGAGGGUCCCAGGAGGAGGUCGGAGUGGAGCAGCAGAGGCCACAAGGACAACCCGUGAGCCCUGCAGGAGAGCAGAUGUCUUAGGCAAAGUCAAGGGUACAUGCAAAGGCUCAAAGGCCGGGACGAUGGUAGACUUGGGAAAGACCAAGGGUGGGCGCAGAGGGGUGGAGGAAAUGGCCCUCCCACACACAGAAUGUAUCUCACACCUCUGCCAAGAUAUCCUGUCUCGUGAGGCUUUCCUUGAUCACGCUAUUCAAACACUCCCCUUCACCAGGAGCGCCUGGAUGGCUCAGUUGAUUCAGCAUCCAACUCUUGGUUUCGGCUCAGGU